rnacentral:snRNA from 1 species
GGGACGUGGCGGUUGACGGCA